rnacentral:snRNA from 1 species
UUUGUGAAAAUACACAUAAAAGUCAGAAUGAUGCAGAGGAUCGGCAUGGCCCCUGCACAUAAAAGACAUGCAAAUUCACCAAGUUUUUCAUAUUUUU